GUGGGGAAUAUUGGACAAUGGGCGAAAGCCUGAUCCAGCCAUGCCGCGUGUGUGAAGAAGGUCUUCGGAUUGUAAAGCACUUUAAGUUGGGAGGAAGGGCAGUAAGUUAAUACCUUGCUGUUUUGACGUUACCGACAGAAUAAGCACCGGCUAACUUCGUGCCAGCAGCCGCGGUAAUACGAAGGGUGCAAGCGUUAAUCGGAAUUACUGGGCGUAAAGCGCGCGUAGGUGGUUCGUUAAGUUGGAUGUGAAAGCCCUGGGCUCAACCUGGGAACUGCAUCCAAAACUGGCGAGCUAGAGUACGGUAGAGGGUGGUGGAAUUUCCUGUGUAGCGGUGAAAUGCGUAGAUAUAGGAAGGAACACCAGUGGCGAAGGCGACCACCUGGACUGAUACUGACACUGAGGUGCGAAAGCGUGGGGAGCAAACAGGAUUAGAUACCCGAGUAGUCC
rnacentral:rRNA from 1 species